UACGUAGGCAGCGAGCGUUGUUCGGAGUUACUGGGCGUAAAGGGUGUGUAGGCGGUUGUUUUAAGUUUGGUGUGAAAUCUCCCGGCUCAACUGGGAGGGUGCGCCGAAUACUGAAUGACUCGAGUGUGGGAGAGGUGAGUGGAAUUCCUGGUGUAGCGGUGAAAUGCGUAGAGAUCGGGAGGAACACCGGUGGCGAAGGCGGGUCUCUGGGCAAUUCCUGACGCUGAGGCGCGAAAGCAUGGGGAGCGAACAGG
rnacentral:rRNA from 1 species